ACUGGGUGCGCUGGCGCACGCCUGUAAUCCCAGUGGCUUGGGAGGCUGAGGUAGGAGGAACUCAAGUUCAAAGCCAGCCUCAGCAGGUGCUAAGCAACUCAGUGAGACCCUGUCUCUA
rnacentral:sRNA from 1 species